rnacentral:misc_RNA from 1 species
GAAAUGCGAUACGUAGUGUGAAUUGCAGAAUUCCGCGAAUCAUCGAGUCUUUGAACGCAAGUUGCGCCCGAGGCUUGACCAAGGGCAUUUCUGCCAGAGCGUCACCGCGACACCCACCAAACACACUCAGUAAGUAGAUGUGUUUGAGUGAAAGUGGCCAUCCGAAUGGGGCCCCGCCCUUCUUUGGGCGCGGGCAGAUUGGGUUGGCUGAAAUGUAGGGAAUUUGGCCGCCGUGGUAGAACAACCAGCGAUCAGGUGAUCAUCCGGGUGCAAACCCGGAAGAACUCAAACGUGCGCCGGUUGCGACAUCCAGUUGGUUCCAAGCUCCAAAGCAGGUCUCCCUCCCCUUCGCUCCCAGGAGUGAAGAGGGAAGGAAAAACGUCACGCAUCAGACCUCUGA